rnacentral:lncRNA from 1 species
GGCGCCUCCUUCCCCGUGUGGUUCAGGACCCUCCCCAGGCGCCUCCUUCCCCGUGACGUUCAGGACCCUCCCCAGGGCUCUCCACAGGCGCCUCCUUCCACGUGUCGUUCAGGUGACGAGGCGAGACCCCGCGCUGGACGUGGCACUCGGGUGUUGGAGUGAGGUGGCGGCGCCGUGUGCUUGAUGGUUUCCAUCAGAGAAGAGUCAGCCUUCCUCCAGAAGGAGCGGGGGAUGGUGGUUCCCCAGCCCGGAAGGAAAAGGAGCCGAGCUCUAGCUGUGAUCACGGCCUCAGCCUGCCUGCCUUUGUGCAUGGAAGGAACUUGCUAGUGACCGCUGCUCUCCUGGGCAGUGUAAGAGUGUUGUGUGGAGGCCGGGGGCGCUGGAGGCCAGUCUCGUUUUCAUAGCCCAGAUGGCUCCCGGCGCAGGUUGCAGUCACCUCCAUUACUCUUUCACGAGAGAGCUGCAGCAAUGCCAUCUGGGGCCUGGCCACACCUGGUCACUGGUGUCCCGAGGCACACAAGCAGUCCCUGCCGGAAGCUGACACACUGUCAUGGCCAAGGGCCACAGUGCAGGUACCACGGUGACCCGGCUUCCCUGAGUCCAGCUCACGCCCGUUUUCCUUGUCUCAACCUUCAGAGCCCUUCCAAGCCCCCACUGGCUGCAGCCCACCCAGGGGACCCACCUUUAGAGGCUGGACUCAGGCUUCACUGAGGGGUGAGAAGCGCAGGUUUACAAAGCUCUGGCUGGGAAGAAAUUGAGUAACCACUCCCUGAGAA